rnacentral:rRNA from 1 species
UUUAAGUCCAUUGGAAAAUGGCGCCAUGGAGGGUGAUAGCCCCGUAAAAGUAUCCCUUUUCCUUUUAUCCAUUUCCUCCCAAAGAGUCGAGUUGUUUGGGAAUGCAGCUCUAAGUGGGUGGUAAAUUCCAUCUAAAGCUAAAUAUUGGCGAGAGACCGAUAGCGAACAAGUACAGUGAUGGAAAGAUGAAAAGCACUUUGAAAAGAGAGUGAAAAAGUACGUGAAAUUGUUGAAAGGGAAGGGCUUGCAAGCAGACACAACCUCGGUUGGGCCAGCAUCGGAGUGGGGGGAGACAAAAAAGAAAAGGAAUGUAACUCUUUCGAGUAUUAUAGCCUUUUUCUCAUAUCUCCACCCCCUUCCGAGGCCUGCGAUUCUUCAAGGAUGCUGGCGUAAUGGUUGCAAGUCGCCCGUCUU